UACGGGGGAGCAAGCGUUGUUCGGAUUUACUGGGCGUAAAGGGCGCGUAGGCGGCCACCGCAAGUCGACUGUGAAAUCUCCGGGCUUAAUCCGGAAAGGUCAGCCGAUACUGCGGGGCUAGAGUGCAGAAGGGGCAACUGGAAUUCUCGGUGUAGCGGUGAAAUGCGUAGAUAUCGAGAGGAACACCUGCGGCGAAGGCGGGUUGCUGGGCUGACACUGACGCUGAUGUGCGAAAGCUAGGGGAGCGAACGGG
rnacentral:rRNA from 1 species